CAGCUGGAUGAUAGCCGGGCUGAAGACUUUGCCGGAUUAGCUGAGAGGUGGUGCAUGGCCGUCGUCAGUUCGUACUGUGAAGCAUCCUGUUAAGUCAGGCAACGAGCGAGACCCACGCCCACAGUUGCCAGCGUACUCUCCGGAGUGACGGGUACACUGUGGGACCGCCGCUGCUAAAGCGGAGGAAGGAAUGGGCAACGGUAGGUCAGUAUGCCCCGAAUAUCCCGGGCUACACGCGAGCUACAAUGGUUGGUACAAUGGGUAUCUACCCCGAAAGGGGACGGGAAUCUCCUAAACCAAUCUUAGUUCGGAUUGAGGGCUGCAACUCGCCCUCAUGAGGCUGGAAUCCGUAGUAAUCGCGUUUCAACAGAACGCGGUGAAUACGUCCCUGCUCCUU
rnacentral:rRNA from 1 species